rnacentral:lncRNA from 1 species
AUGGCAACGCAUAUUUCCCACUCUCUCCUAUUGGGACUUUUAUGCGUUGUGUUGGUUCUGGCUUCAGGGCCAACACCAGAUUUGAACGAAUUAUCACGUUUUCCAUGCAUUGGGCCAUGCCAAAACUGUGACCAAAAGUGCAGAAAUAAGGGAUAUAAUAAAGGUGGAGGUUGUUACUCUAGGAUUUGUUGUUGUCACUUUUAA